GCACUGCUGAGGAGUCCUACAACAGGACGAAAUGGUCAUCCAGUGC
rnacentral:hammerhead_ribozyme from 1 species